rnacentral:rRNA from 1 species
ACGGGGGGACUCCUACGGGAGGCAGCAGUGGGGAAUAUUGCACAAUGGGCGCAAGCCUGAUGCAGCGACGCCGCGUGAGGGAUGACGGCCUUCGGGUUGUAAACCUCUUUCAGUAGGGAAGAAGCGAAAGUGACGGUACCUGCAGAAGAAGCGCCGGCUAACUACGUGCCAGCAGCCGCGGUAAU